rnacentral:rRNA from 1 species
CCUACGGGAGGCAGCAGUGAGGAAUAUUGGUCAAUGGCCGGAAGGCUGAACCAGCCAUGCCGCGUGAAGGUCAGUGCCCUAUGGGCGUUAAACUUCUUUUGUGCGGGAGCAAUAAUGGUCACGUGUGGCCAGACGAGAGUACCGUACGAAUAAGCAUCGGCUAACUCCGUGCCAGCAGCCGCGGUAAUACGGGGGAUGCAAGCGUUAUCCGGAAUCAUUGGGCGUAAAGAGUUCGUAGGCGGCACGUAAAGUCUGGUGUUAAAGGCAGAGGCUCAACUUCUGUACGGCACUGGAUACUUGCGAGCUAGAAUGCAGUAGAGGUAAAGGGAAUUCCUGGUGUAGCGGUGAAAUGCUUAGAUAUCAGGAGGAACAUCGGUGGCGUAAGCGCUUUACUGGGCCGUAAUUGACGCUGAGGAACGAAAGCCAGGGUAGCAAAUGGGAUUAGAUACCCUUGUAGUC